GUCUGAGAGGAUGAUCAGUCACACUGGAACUGAGACACGGUCCAGACUCCUACGGGAGGCAGCAGUGGGGAAUAUUGGACAAUGGGCGAAAGCCUGAUCCAGCCAUGCCGCGUGUGUGAAGAAGGUCUUCGGAUUGUAAAGCACUUUAAGUUGGGAGGAAGGGCAUUAACCUAAUACGUUAGUGUUUUGACGUUACCGACAGAAUAAGCACCGGCUAACUCUGUGCCAGCAGCCGCGGUAAUACAGAGGGUGCAAGCGUUAAUCGGAAUUACUGGGCGUAAAGUCGUCGCGUAGGUGGUUUGUUAAGUUGGAUGUGAAAUCCCCGGGCUCAACCUGGGAACUGCAUUCAAAACUGACUGACUAGAGUAUGGUAGAGGGUGGUGGAAUUUCCUGUGUAGCGGUGAAAUGUCGUAGAUAUAGGAAGGAACACCAGUGGCGAAGGCGACCACCUGGACUAAUACUGACACUGAGGUGCGAAAGGUCGUGGGGAGCAAACAGGAUUAGAUACCCUGGUAGUCCACGCCGUAAACGCAUGUCAACUAGCCGUU
rnacentral:rRNA from 1 species